UGAUCCAGGGAGGUAGUGACAAGAAAUAACAACCUAGCCGCAAGGCAGUGGAUUGUAAUGAGUGCAAUUUAAAACACUGCACGAGGAACAAUUGGAGGGCAAGUCUGGUGCCAGCAGCCGCGGUAAUUCCAGCUCCAAUAGCGUAUAUUAAAGUUGUUGCAGUUAAAAAGCUCGUAGUUGAAUUUCUAGUCAGUUAAUUUGGAGUUUACUUCACUUUAGCUGGCUAUUCGACACUGAACCAUGUCGGUUAUUAAGUUAACCCCAUGGAGAAUUGUCAUUUUACUUUGAAAAAAUUAGAGUGUUUCAGGCAGGCAAUUGCCCGGAUAUCUUAGCAUGGAAUAAUGGAAUAGGACUUUGGUUCAUUUUAUUGGUUAUUGAAUCAGAGUAAUGAUUAAUAGGGACAGUUGGGGGCAUUAGUAUUUAAUUGUCAGAGGUGAAAUUCUUGGAUUUAUUAAAGACUAACUUAUGCGAAAGCAUUUGCCAAGGAUGUUUUCAUUAAUCAAGAACGAAAGUUAGGGGAUCAAAGACGAUCAGAUACCGUCCUAGUCUUGACUAUAAACUAUACCGACUCAGGAUUGGCCAUGUUUAAACUUGGUCAGCACUGUAUGAGAAAUUAAAGUCUUUGGGUUCUGGGGGGAGUAUGGUCGCAAGGCUGAAACUUAAAGGAAUUGACGGAAGGGCACCACCAGGAGUGGAGCCUG
rnacentral:rRNA from 1 species